CCUACGGGUGGCUGCAGUGGGGAAUUUUGGACAAUGGGGGCAACCCUGAUCCAGCCAUGCCGCGUGCGGGAAGAAGGCCUUCGGGUUGUAAACCGCUUUUAGUCGGGAAGAAAAGGCCAGGCCCAAUACGUCUGGUUCUUGACGGUACCGGCGGAAUAAGCACCGGCUAACUACGUGCCAGCAGCCGCGGUAAUACGUAGGGUGCGAGCGUUAAUCGGAAUUACUGGGCGUAAUUCGUGCGCACGGAGGUGAAAGCCCCGGGCUCAACCUGGGAAUGGCAUUGGAAACUGGCGGGCUGGAGUGUGGCAGAGGGGGGUGGAAUUCCGCGUGUAGCAGUGAAAUGCGUAGAGAUGCGGAGGAACACCGAUGGCGAAGGCAGCCCCCUGGGCUGACACUGACGCUCAGGCACGAAAGCGUGGGGAGCAAACAGGAUUAGAUACCCUGGUAGUC
rnacentral:rRNA from 1 species